GGGAAUACCCUCAAAUUCUAAGCUGUCCACGUCAUUUAAUUAAAUCGACCAAUGGGAGAGAGUCUUUUUGCCACGUCGGAUGCAUCACUCAAAAUCAGUUGGGCUUUAUUUCGUUUGGCCCAUAUUAGGUUUAUCAGGUCACGUAGAUGAAACGCUGCGUAAUAGAUUUCGCGACUCCAGACCUGGUGGCGACUUUGUCUGCGCGCUGACCUUCCAUCUUCUUCCCCUGGCAAAUCCUGUAACCGAUUCAUCACCUUAAAGUCCUCAAUUAAUCGAGCAGGCACGAUCUAGAUUCAAUGCGACCUUUAAGGUUUCAGAGACGGUAGAGUUCGACUAUAAAUAGGCUGGACACUCCUCUUCCACCGUCAAGUUCGCUUACUCCGCUUUUGUGAGGCCUGAAACGUCCGACCUGGUGGAGAGCUCAUGGGCAUCGACAUGCUUUUAAUCGUCUCUUAGGUUAUGUAACUCUUAUUAUUUUAUGAUUUGUUUAUUGUUUAUAAAGAUUUGAAGUUCAUGUGUAUUCAUCGUCUCUGUUAAUUCUCUGUUGCCUUGAAUUUUGUCAUACUAUUUAAUCCUGUUUGAUGCUGUUUUUUUUUAUAUUCAGUCGACCAUGAUGCCGGUGACUGUGAAUGUCAACCGCCUUGCGACGCACCAGCCUAACCUUGAAGCGGGAUCGGUCUACUCUUUAGCUCCACGAACUCCAGUUACCUGCAGCGCGAAACAGAGAGGGUUUGUCCUCAAGAAGAUAGAAUCAUUGAUGGUGUCAUAACUGAGUUCUUAUGUGCUCAACUUCCACCGCAGGACUACUAUCAAGCUUUCAGAUUGAACCCACUUAAUCCAUUUUCAGGGCAUAAGAUAUGAUGUCAUUGGGAGACUUAAAUCCUACAAGCAUGUUUGGAGCAGUGGUUUCAGAUAUGGAUUAAGGGUAUUCAGGAAGGAGAAGAAAACUUGAGUUAUAUUUAGUUAUGUAGAGCAUCAUGUUUCACAGUGCCUUGAACAAGACAUGAACCAAGAUCGCUUGGUCUCAUGGAGCCAACAUAGCGAAACUGAUAAAGAGGAAAGAAGGCUGAUCAUCAGCAGGACACAAGGAUCGAUGACAAUAUGGCGACGCUGGUGACUUCCACCCUACAGGUAAAAGCGUUGUGAAGUGCUUUCCAGACAAACAAUUUAACUUUUGGUGCUGCUUUGAUGUUCCAGACGUCCUUAUACCAGUUGGUUUGAUGAUUCUGAGAAGUUAGGGACUCUUGAUCUUUGCAUUCCAGCGCAGAAAGAUACCCAGAUUUAGUGCUAUAAUCUCCUGAUGGAAUCUUAAGCCACACCCGUCUGUCCGGAGCCCCGACCAAGCUUGGUUUGAUGAGUCUGAUACUCUGUUACUCUGUUGGCAAUACUCUUCAAUCGAAGCAAACUCAACAUAGGCAAAUUCACAGAAACUGCCAUGGCGUCCUAUAGCCAUUGUAACAUUAACAACUUGGCCAGCUUAUUUGAAGAAGCUCCUCGCUGGAGGAAAACAAUAGUAAAAUCAAUGGAAAACUUUCAAAAAAAUAACCAAAGGUGUGUGUGUGUGUGUGUUUUUUUUUUAUAACCAAAGGUGUGUUAUAGUUGCAUAUCUAAUCUUUAACAAUUGGUAUACGAGAUUUCAACGUUUCAAAAGAAAGAGUUCCAACGUACUAAGUGUGGUUCCAAU